AAAGAAAAGAAAGGGGAAGAAAGAAAGGAAAAAAAAAGAAUAAAGUGCAGGCCAUUUUCAGCAAAGAGCAGGCCACCCAUAGCAGGCCAGGCCUAUCCCCUUGGCCCAGCGGGUGUUCGGCCCAAUUCUGCCCAGCAGUGUAGAGGCCCCGACCGGUGCAGCCCAACAGCAGCUUAGCAGGCCCAAUUCGCAGCAGGCCCAAAAAACAGAAAACAAAAAAUGGAGAAAAAGAAAAAGGCCCAAAAUUCAAGCCCAUAACUUUGGGCUUUUGGUCGCUACAGUCCCAAAAUAAUUUGGUUGAAAACUUAUCAAGCAUUGCUGAUCAUGAAGAUGUAUGCAAAGUGUGCCAGUUUGUGAAACAUGCGAGGCUUCCAUUUCGAGCAAACAGAGCCUGGCGGGCUAGUGAAAAGAUUCACUUAGUACAUAUUGACAUUUGCGGACCCAUUAAAACAAGUUCAUCAAAUGGAAGUAGGUACUUUGUGGUUUUUAUUGAUGAUUGUACUAUUCAAAAAUGUGUCCAUAUUGUAAUAAACAUGUAACUAUUUUCUGUUUAUUUGAACGAUGAAUAAAUAAAUAAAUAAAGUUAAUUUCAUAUUUCA